ensembl:lncRNA
GUGGUUGUGGUGUUCAUUUGCGCAUUACAUGCUACCGGUGGAGCUGUGGUGCUCUACCUGACUGGAGCACCCUGGUGUGCUGCCUGUUUCAAGACAAAGUUUGUGAAGGCUUUAUCCUUGCCAUCCACAAAUCCUUGUUAUUUCCAUCUUUAAUGCCAGAAUGAAUAACUAGUGAGUUUUUUCUCUUUCUUAGGGUAACUUAUGUUGCAUUAAGAAAAUAUAUAUGAAGACAGGAUGUUAUUCCAGGCCUGAGAACUCUGGCAGGGCUGGAAUCAAUUGAAAAUACAGUCCUGACUUCCUCAAUGCACAAGCCAGUGGAAAUCUAAAAUAACCUCUGGGGAGAGAAAAUGGAAGUUUGUGGCUUCGACAACUGAAAGAAAGUACCUGAAGGUCGAUGCCUUGCAAAGCGGAUUCUGGAAGUGGUGCUUUGGAAACAAAGCAGAAAGCAAUGUGCAAAAUUUUAGUAAGAGACUCCGUGCCCUAAAGAUUGUACCUUUGAAGUACACAAGAAUGGUAAAACGUGGCAGAAGGGAAGAACUGUUAUAUUUACAGGAAACUGAAGCUCAGAGAUUUUAACUUUUUCUAAGAUCAGGCAGGAGGCUGACUCUCUGGAUCAAGGUGAAUGUACAUUUAAAAUGCACGAUUGAUUAUUUAAGGAAUCUGUGAGACUUCUGGAUUCUGUACACAGAAUGAGAAAGUGGAAAAGCAACUAUUGCAUAUACAUCCCAUUUUACCCUCCAGAGCUCUCCCAUUGAUUCAAGGAAAACUGAUUGAAGAAAAUGUACUCAUUAUGCAUGGACAAAGCUUGUAGAAAGAAAUAAUAGGCUCUUGAACAGCUGAGAAGGAAGUUCUAACCUCAGAGUACCACGAGAGGUUUUUUGAGGCAACCUCAUUAUCCUUCUAAGGCUGGAACUGCAACCAGGAGUGUUGAUCCUUUCAUCUUGCAACAUGUAAGCUAUCAAGAGCUCUGCAAAUACUUGAGACCAAACUGACCUUUGGCCUUGGAAAAGCCUGAGUUCUGGGCUUGCUUGAUUGUGGAGAGAUUGGAAAUGUAGGAGAAAAGGAAACACUGGUUUGAUAGGUCACUCUGUCAUUUUACCUUCUGAAGAUCACCUUGGAAAGAACAAUCAAGCAAACAACUGGUCUGGGAGAAGCAAGUGCUAAAGCUGUGUACUUUUUAAACUGUGAGGAGAGAAUUUAUGUGAACUUUUAUUUAUUACUUAUCACCUAAGUCUUGGAGGUGAUUUGAAGCAGAAGGAAGAGGAAGGAAAAAAAAUAGAAGAGGGAUUAUUUGAAGGUGAUGGAGUUUCUGAACCUGAUUAGAGAGCGUUCUCUUGCUGCCAACUCAUACAGGAUCUUUGUCUCCUUUGCUGUUUCAGAAGAUGCUGUUCCAGAGACAGGGCUCCUAGAGUUUUGUGGAAGGGGAAGUUCCUGAUGCCCGCUGUCCAAGACUUUCUAGACCAAGUGAGAAGAUUUUCUUGUUCAGACUGGUGAAGAGCUCUGAAAGUCAUCAUCACCAUGCCAUCUGGCAAGCUGUACAUUUAUAUACUGAAAGGCCACACUGUCAAAUCUCCCAGAAACCUUCUCUUCUCCAGGCUGCACAGCCUCAGCUCCCUCAGCCUGUCCUUGAAGGAGAAGUGUUCCAUCCUUCCAUCCCUUGGAUCAUUUUUGCAUCCCUCCUCUGGAUGGACUCCAACAGAUCCACGUCUCUCCUACACUGAGGACUCCACAUCUGGAUGCAGUACUCCAGAAACAUGUCUUAUGAGAAAGAAAAAAACCACAACACUGCAGAGCAUCCAAAUCUCCUUUAAAGAUGCAGUGAUUUCCAUCAAAAGCUGUUAAGAAGAUUUGGAAAGAAAACGAUGGAACUUGCAUUUUAAUCUCACAAGCUGGCAAUAGGUUUUAAACAGCAUUGUAUGGUUGGACUGUAAGUGAUAAAAUACAGGUUGAAUUUCUUUGGAAGGCCAUUCAUGAAAAAACAACACUCUUCUAGUGUAGUCUACCAAAGAAAUCCCCUUGGAAUCCCUUGCUCUAAAUGUUCUUCCUCAUUUCUGGAUGGCUCUCAAAGUCUUUUACACCUGCAAAAAUACACUGUCGACAUUUUCUUACUUUGAAUACAGAAAAAUGUUCAGUGCAAGAGGAUGGAGAAUUAAGGCCUCCAUCUUACUGUAGUGAAAAGAAACCUAGCUUCACACUGAUCCAGAUUUUGACCUUGGAUAGGUAUCGUUAGAUCUUUUGGUUUAAUUAAAACUUAGCUCUAUGUUUCUCCACUUUGAAUGCUUUCACUGUAGUGUUCUUAAACUCUGAGUUUUAUGUAGUUGUGAGUAGGGAUUUUGAAGGCUAUUAACUCAUUGAAGUGCAAAAGUUCAUAACCUCUUACAGCAAUACACUUUUUUAUGAUUGUCAGACAGUUAGAGCUGUACAUAGCAAGCAGACUUGAAUAUGACUUUGAAGAAUUUGAGGAGAAUGCUUCAUACUCAGGGAUAAUUCUGAAGUGCAGUUAUGCCUGCCUUGUGUUGCUAUUUUUCUUGCUUCUGACUUUCAUAGAUUCACCACUUCAAUUGCUCUUGAUUAAUAGGAAAGUCAGGAAAAAUAUUAUUUUAAUAUCAUUUGCAGAGUGUACCUGACCAGCACAGGUUGUUUGAAGGAAUAGCCAGGCACUAUGCGAGAGAGAGUAAAGAAGAUAUGCCACCAUGACAGAAUGUGCAGUUGCUCCUUAAGUAAUGCCUCCUAUUUAUUUCCAUGGAAACUUCUAAGAACAGGUACAAAGUGCAGGAUAAAACUACUUGAAUAGAGCAAAUUCUCAGCUACAAAACACCAUUUUUCAACACAGUAACCACCAUUAGGUGUGCAUUUUUGCCAGUGAUGAACAAGAAUCUGCAUGCCAUGCACCAGCAGAGGUGACCAUUGUUGCCACUCUGCUGAAAUGCACCACCUACUGCCUCACUGCACUUACAUUCACUGUUUGGUCUCCAGAAAUGUCCAGCAGGCAUUGAUGAAUGUCAGUGGGAGCCAUUUUUUUUCUGCAUGAAAUAGUUAACUGACACAUCUUUCCUUCAUCUGCACUUCCAUGGCAGAUGCCAUUCUGCCAGACUUGCCUCUCUGCUGCCGUCAGUCACACAGCAGCAAAAAGUAUUGGAAUGUUGGUGGGAAGGUCCAACAUAUACUGCCAUGUCACCAACAUCUGUCUCUGAUAUUGUGGGCCACCAUCAUAACAUAGGAGGCAUUACUUUCAGAGCAGCCCUUGUGCAUCACAACACAAUACCAUGAGAACAUUUUUCACUUCUCAAAGUGGAAAGUCUGGCAAAUGCUCACAUUUGCAUAUGUGUGUGUGUAAUUUCAGAUAUAACAACUGAUCUUUCAUACAGUUCUAUACAAAUUUGCAGGGUUUUUUUCAACAUAGCAACAUCUUCUGCUACGUGGAUGACCAUGAAUAAAUGUUGUAGCAGAAUUUCAAAUAACAAGCUUGUGAACCAAUGUAAUUCCAGGGAUGCUGCUUUGAAAACAGUUGAAUUUCUCCCAGUAUUCAGCAGUAUAGCUGAGAACAGAACUUCACACUUUCUUGGUUUUGCUAGGAAAUAUAAAAUGUCAAGUAGCAAUUCAAAAAAUAUCUAAUUCUGUAGGAACCUAGGCUUUCUGCAGAUAGCUCUUUUGUUUCCUGUGAUUUUUUACCAGGUUUUAGCCAGAGCUGCUGAAGACUACAGAAAAACAGAAGGGAACACGGAUCUGAGUUACUGCCCUUUUAAUAAGAGAUCAAGCUUCUUUAAAGCCACUCUAAUUUGUGAGCAGAGAUCAAACACUUUGCUUAAGAUAAUGAGUGUAGUAAAUUUGGGAAAAAUGCUUUGAUUGCUCAGCAGUGCAUGGCUUUCUUUUUCUAAAAGAAAUGAUGUCUCAGAGAUACUACGUAAGGAUCUUGAUUAACUAUUUAGCUUCUGCAUCUGAAAGUCAAAAUGAUUUACAAGUAGUUUUGAUUUUUGGGCCAGCUAAAGUGAUCAUUGUGUGUAAUUGCCAUGUUUUACAUUUGACUUUCUGAUUAACGUUUACUAAAGAGUGUGUGUAUGUGAAUAUAUAUAUUCAUUUAACUUCCAAGCACGUUUUCAAAAUCAAGCUAGGUUGUUUUGUUCCGUGUUUUUUUUUGGGGGGG